CUUACCGGGUCCGGACACACUGAGGAUUGACAGGCAAAAGAUACAAGUUUUCUUUGUGAGAGCUUGCAUUGUAAAAUAUGCGAGUCCUUUCAUGAUUAUGUGAUAGGUGGUGCAUGGCCGUUCUUAGUUCGUGGAGUGAUCUGUCUGCUUAAUUGCGUUUCACAACGAUUUAAAAUGCUAUGUUUUCUGUGUUUGCUGUUCGGUUUUAGCUCUUACGGGAGUUUUUAACUUUGAACGCACACGGCGUAGCUUAAAACAAUCGGAAAGCAACGAACGUGACCGCAACCUCUUGUUGCCUUUAUUUUUAAAAGCGUGGAAAAUUUUAUAUUUUCUUACGCUUGAAAAAGGCUUUAAAACUAGAGGGACCGCUGUUCUAUUCUCUUAAACCAGAGGAAGAUUGCGGCAAUAACAGGUCUGUGAUGCCCUCAGAUGUUCCGGGCUGCACACGUGCUACAAUGAUUGUUGCAGUGAGCAUCUAUUUUCAAACGCUACCGUUGCGGAUUUUGUGAGAAGGGGGCUUGUUUUAAAGCUUUCGGGUGGAGAAGCGGGUUCUUUUUUUCACAAUUUAUUCCGCGUUACGUGUCAGCUAAACCUGCUUCGAAAGCAAGUAGGUAAUCAAUUGGAAGUAACGAUUUCCAUUUUUUGGAAAGCACAACUUUUUGGUUCGUAUGGUACUGCGAAGUUAACGCAGUUUACUGUGUCUUUCUCUCGUCGGUAUUCACACGGAUAUCUGUGCUACUAUUUUUAAAAUUCAAGGUGGGGACAGACCAUUGUUAAUUGUUGGUCUCGUUUUAACUAGGGAUGCCUUGUACGGGUUGGUUCAUCAAACCACCCGGAAUACGCCCCUGCCCUUUGUACACACCGCCCGUCGCUCUUACCGAUGGACUUCUCUGUGAGGUUGAGGGACUGGGUCCUUUGCGACCUACGGAAACUCAUUCGAACAGGGUGGUCUAAAGGAAAGAGAAGUCGUAACAAGGCAUCGGUAGGUGAACCUGCAGAAGGAUCA
rnacentral:rRNA from 1 species